AAAUUAAAUUUGAUAUGUUUGGUUCCUCUUCAACCAAUUUAUUUCAAAGGCGUACACAAGUUACAUUUCAUUCAAUUCAAUUCACUUCCAAUCAUUUCAGAACUCAACUCAAUUCACUUCCAAUCAUUUCAGAACUCCACUCAAUUCACUUUAUGCAGAACCAACCUUACAUCAAUGACAAUGACACUGAAACAGACCACAUCAGUGGUAAUAAAUGAAUUAAAAGUUUGUAUUUUUUUCACAGUAUGUACAAGACUUUCUCCCAAUACCACUGCCAGGUAUCGUAGUAAAACAACAUACAUCAAUAAUCAAUCAUUCUGUGCCACAAUGAUAUCUAUAUAG